rnacentral:rRNA from 1 species
GAGUUUGAUCGUGGCUCAGAUUGAACGCUGGCGGCAGGCCUAACACAUGCAAGUCGAGCGGAUGAAGGGAGCUUGCUCCUGGAUUCAGCGGCGGACGGGUGAGUAAUGCCUAGGAAUCUGCCUGGUAGUGGGGAGUAACGUCCGGAAACGGGCGCUAAUACCGCAUACGUCCUGAGGGAGGAAAGUGGGGGAGUCUUCGGACCUCACGCUAUCAGAUGAGCCUAGGUCGGAUUAGCUAGUUGGUGGGGUAAAGGCCUACCAAGGCGACGAUCCGUAACUGGUCUGAGAGGAUGAUCAGUCACACUGGAACUGAGACACGGUCCAGACUCCUACGGGAGGCAGCAGUGGGGAAUAUUGGACAAUGGGCGAAAGCCUGAUCCAGCCAUGCCGCGUGUGUGAAGAAGGUCUUCGGAUUGUAAAGCACUUUAAGUUGGGAGGAAGGGCAGUAAGUUAAUACCUUGCUGUUUUGACGUUACCAACAGAAUAAGCACCGGCUAACUUCGUGCCAGCCGCCGCCGUAAC